rnacentral:rRNA from 1 species
AACGAACGCUGGCGGCAGGCUUAACACAUGCAAGUCGAACGCCCUAGCAAUAGGGAGUGGCGCACGGGUGAGUAACGCGUGGGAAUGUACCGUUUAGUGGGGGAUAACCAAGGGAAACUUUGGCUAAUACCGCAUACGCCCUUCGGGGGAAAGAUUUAUCGCUAAACGAUCAGCCCGCGUGAGAUUAGGUAGUUGGUGGGGUAACGGCCUACCAAGCCGACGAUCUCUAGCUGGUCGGAGAGGAUGAUCAGCCACACUGGAACUGAGACACGGUCCAGACUCCUACGGGAGGCAGCAGUGGGGAAUAUUGGACAAUGGGGGCAACCCUGAUCCAGCCAUGCCGCGUGAGUGAUGAAGGCCUUAGGGUUGUAAAGCUCUUUUACCGAUGAAGAUAAUGACGGUAGUCGGAGAAAAAGCCCCGGCUAACUUCGUGCCAGCAGCCGCCGUAA